GUGGCAGUAGCUCAGUGGUAGAGCCUCCGCUUCGAAUGCGGGAGACCCAGGUUCGAUUCCCGGCUGUUUCC
rnacentral:tRNA from 1 species